rnacentral:rRNA from 1 species
CUUUGAUUCUGGCUCAGGACGAACGCUGGCAGCGUGCCUAAUACAUGCAAGUCGAGCGAGCUUGCCUAGAUGAUUUUAGUGCUUGCACUAAAUGAAACUAGAUACAAGCGAGCGGCGGACGGGUGAGUAACACGUGGGUAACCUGCCCAAGAGACUGGGAUAACACCUGGAAACAGAUGCUAAUACCGGAUAACAACACUAGACGCAUGUCUAGAGUUUGAAAGAUGGUUCUGCUAUCACUCUUGGAUGGACCUGCGGUGCAUUAGCUAGUUGGUAAGAUAACGGCUUACCAAGGCAAUGAUGCAUAGCCGAGUUGAGAGACUGAUCGGCCACAUUGGGACUGAGACACGGCCCAAACUCCUACGGGAGGCAGCAGUAGGGAAUCUUCCACAAUGGACGAAAGUCUGAUGGAGCAACGCCGCGUGAGUGAAGAAGGGUUUCGGCUCGUAAAGCUCUGUUGGUAGUGAAGAAAGAUAGAGGUAGUAACUGGCCUUUAUUUGACGGUAAUUACUUAGAAAGUCACGGCUAACUACGUGCCAGCAGCCGCGGUAAUACGUAGGUGGCAAGCGUUGUCCGGAUUUAUUGGGCGUAAAGCGAGUGCAGGCGGUUCAAUAAGUCUGAUGUGAAAGCCUUCGGCUCAACCGGAGAAUUGCAUCAGAGACUGUUGAACUUGAGUGCAGAAGAGGAGAGUGGAACUCCAUGUGUAGCGGUGGAAUGCGUAGAUAUAUGGAAGAACACCAGUGGCGAAGGCGGCUCUCUGGUCUGCAACUGACGCUGAGGCUCGAAAGCAUGGGUAGCGAACAGGAUUAGAUACCCUGGUAGUCCAUGCCGUAAACGAUGAGUGCUAAGUGUUGGGAGGUUUCCUCCUUUCAGUUCAG